UCUUUUUGUAAUAUAGAAGGUUGUACCUGCCCACUGAUAUUUAUUAAAGGGCCGCGGUAUUUUGACCGUGCAAAGGUAGCAUAAUCAUUAGUUUUUUAAUUGAGAGCUGGAAUGAAUGGUUUGACGAGAUAAUAACUGUCUUGUAAUUAUAUAUUGAAUUUUACUUUUGAGUUAAAAGGCUCAAAUGAAUAUAAGGGACGAGAAGACCCUAUAGAUCUUUACAUUUAAUUUUUUUUUUAUUAAUUUAGUAGUUAUAAUUUAAUAUAAAUUUAUUAUUUGUUUUGUUGGGGUGACAUGAGAAUAUAUAAACUUCUUAAUAUUGAACUUUGAUAGAUGGGAAUAUGAUCCUUUAUUUUGGAAUUAAGAUUAAGAUACCUUAGGGAUAACAGCGUAAUUUUGUYGGAGAGUUCUUAUCGAUNAUGAAGAUUGCGACCMCGAUCKYGGAUUAAGAUUAAAUUGUGGUGAAGGUGCUUUAUGUUUUGGUCUGUUC
rnacentral:rRNA from 1 species